CUGACAGCUGCCAACAUUCGAUCUCUCCCUCCCCUGACAGCUGCCAACAUUCGAUCUCUGAUCUGUCCUGCAGGGGAGAGGGAGGCACGGUUCCCGGUGCUAUUAUAGCACAAGGAAAAUAUCUUGCGGUGCCCAUGCGCUGAGGCACACAGUUUGAGAACCGCUGCCUUAAGCUGAUCUUUUUAUUGCAAAACCGUAACCAGC